GAGGUCGGCAGUACCAGUCAUCAUAUUCCUGUUAAGAAGAAGAAAAUGAAAAUGUCAGCCAAAGUGACUGACAAAAGGCAAAUAAAGUGCUUCUUCUGUAAGAAACAAGGACAUUUGAAAAAGGACUGCAUCAAGUACAAGAAAUGGCUCGAAAAGAAAGGGAUUGUUGAACAAAAGAAUUCCAACGGAAAGUGAGCGAAGCAUCAUAAUGGGAAAUAAGAUGCGUUCACAUGUGGAAGCUGUUGGAACGUUCAAAUUGACCUUAAAGACUGGCCAUAUUUUGUAUCUAGAAAAUACCUUCUAUGUACCUGGAUUUUCAAGAAACUUGAUAUCUGUUUCUAAACUUACUUCCUUUGGAUAUACCGUUUCAUUUGGACGGUCUUUUGUAAACCUUUCUUUGAAUAAUAUUGUUGUUGGUAAUUGCUUGUUA